CUAGCUAUUUUUCAAUCUCAGCCACGAUGUUGAAACUCACCACAUCCACAGUACUCCUUGUCUUUCUGGCCUUUAAAUUGGCAUCAUCUUUAAAGUGGUGUCAUCUGUUAAGAAUUCCGGGAAGUGGUGUGGUUCCACAUUCCCUCCGUAGUGGGGUGGUUCCACAUUCCCUCCGUAGUCGCACUCCAAUGUUGACAGCGAUGCUCCUGCGAGUAAACCUUGAAACUCCAAACAAGGGACUAAAGGCUGUCCCCAAGCCCUCUCAACCAGUUUCGUCAGAGCUUCGUUCAACAUUGAGAGCAGGUCCCAGUUCCCCAUCCAGUGAGGUGUUCACAAUUCCUUGGCACAAACUACCUUCUAACCUCACUCUUGCAAUGGAAGAAAAUAACUGAUGAUCUACUGAGCAAAGAGACCAGGCCCGGAAGAGGAAGGCUGCAGAAAGUUUCUAAAUCGUAGAGAUACAGUAUAUCCAAGACAAGUGGAAGAAUGUCAUCGGGACGGGGUACGGUUCACUCCUUGUACAGAUCGAAAACAGAUUUGUAAACUCCUCGAGGCUGACCUCAGCACCAACAAAGAGGCAAGCAGGGGGUGAAGAUGUGGGUGAAGAUGGUGGGAGAAGGAAAUCAAAAUGUUCAGAUCGUUAUGGAUGCUUUGGGUGGCGGCCUGACUCUCAGGGUAGAACAGAAGAACUGAAUGAAACGAAAACGGAGCUGAAGAAUGCGUACGAAAACAGCCUCCUUCCUGAGUCCUGUGUUAAAAAAGUAUUGCACUAUUGUGAUAAAAAAACCUAUUGCUUUCCAGCUCAUAACAAUUAAAGGCUGCGGAAAGUUGCUAAAGUGAUCGUAGAGAUAUA